UUGAAUUUCGGGAUACAAAUUGUCGGACGUGCUUCGGUACGCACUGGCAUUAUUGGUUUCUACCUUCUGAAGAACCGCGAUGUCAUUAAUUUGGUGUCGUGGGGAAUCAGGACUGUUACUUGAAAAAAAUUAGAGUGUUUAAAGCAGGCGCACGCUUGAAUACAUUAGCAUGGAAUAAUGAAAUAGGACGUUUGAUUCUAUUUUGUUGGUUUCUAGGAUCGACGUAAUGAUUAAUAGGGAUAGUUGGGGGCAUUAGUAUUCAAUUGUCAGAGGUGAAAUUCUUGGAUUUAUUGAAGACUAACUACUGCGAAAGCAUUUGCCAAGGAUGUUUUCAUUAAUCAAGAACGAAAGUUAGGGGAUCGAAGACGAUCAGAUACCGUCGUAGUCUUAACCAUAAACUAUGCCGACUAGGGAUCGGAUGAUGUUAAUUUUUAAUGACUC
rnacentral:rRNA from 1 species